rnacentral:rRNA from 1 species
GACGAACGCUGGCGGCGUGCCUAACACAUGCAAGUCGAACGGAAAGGCCCUGCUUGCAGGGUACUCGAGUGGCGAACGGGUGAGUAACACGUGGGUGAUCUGCCCUGCACUUCGGGAUAAGCCUGGGAAACUGGGUCUAAUACCGGAUAUGACCUUCCAUGUAGUGUGGGGGGUGGAAAGAUUUAUCGGUGUGGGAUGAGCCCGCGGCCUAUCAGCUUGUUGGUGGGGUAAUGGCCUACCAAGGCGUCGACGGGUAGCCGGCCUGAGAGGGUGGACGGCCACAUUGGGACUGAGAUACGGCCCAGACUCCUACGGGAGGCAGCAGUGGGGAAUAUUGCACAAUGGGCGGAAGCCUGAUGCAGCGACGCCGCGUGGGGGAUGACGGCCUUCGGGUUGUAAACCUCUUUCGACAGGGACGAAGCUUCGGUGACGGUACCUGUAUAAGAAGCACCGGCUAACUACGUG